AGGAAUAAGAUUGUUUAUAUCAUAUUGUAUACAUGCUGAAAGUAGCAGCAAGCAGCAGAUUUCCUAAACUAUGUUCCCAAGUAGUUCACAUGUAAUUGUGUGUUCUUGAAGUGCAGAACAAUCCACCACAACCACGACGCGAAGGACUCCAAGCUACAAUUUUUGCAUCACUAAAACAAAAAAAACAACAGUAAUGCAUCCAAGUCCUAGGAAAGCUUUGGGCAUUUGGUGAGGAGCGCAAGCAAAAUAUGGCAAAAACAUCAUGGCUGGUGUCUAAAUUUGUUUCCAAUCUUCCUAUCACUAAUGUGUUGCCCUUGCACUAUUGGGCUCACCUUGCCAUGCCAUGCUGGGGCAGUGCAGUUGUGCAGGCUUGGAGCUGAAGUUUGGGAGCUGAAGGCAAAGAGGCAGGGACUAUGUGCAGAAAUAAGAAAUAAUGAUUAGAUCAGUCUAGGCUAUACAUGCUUCCUAUUGUAUGAAUUUUUGUGCUAUAAUAUUUUUCCUUCCCCUUCUUUGAAAUGCGAUAUUUGCACAUCUCUUCUCAACUUUGCAUUACUUAUUCCUGUCAUUUUGUAUAUAUUAACCUGUUAUAUUUUCUAUGCUUCAUUUUUUCAGUU